CAUCGAUCUCGGUAGAGUCCUGAGAGGCCAUCGCCGCGAGGUCAUGGGGAAGACGAGGUGCGAGGAGUGGAAGCUUCGAAGAUUACCACAGCGGAUUCGUUCGGUGCAAUUGUUUUGGGUGGUACCUUUGAUCGAUUGCACGAUGGGCAUGAUCAGACUUCAAGGUUAAUUGUUGUUUUCUCUCUGUGAUUUCUGCUUAUGAAUCAAAACUAAUUUAUUGACAAUAUUUGUUUGUAGGGAUGGAGAAAUUAGGCGGUUGAGCUAGCCAUGGAUCGAAUAGUAGUGGAAGUAUGUGACAGUGCGAUGUUGAUGAACAAACAAGAGAAUGUGGGAGAGUUUUUUUUACUUAGCCGUUGAUCUUGGUGCCAUGUGCUUACGCCUGUAAAGCUCUCUUUCGCAUUGGAUGUGAUGUGAUUAAACACUUCACUGCCGACAGUCCACGAGUCAAUUGAGAGGAGCACCUGCUUCUAGGAUUGUGUUUUACCCGAAUGUCAUAGUCAAGGUGACAUAUUUUCAUCCCCAAUGCAUCGCCAAGAGCUAUAAGAGACCUUUCGCGAAUGGUUUCGAUCAACACUGCUGUUAGCCAUUGUCUUCCUCUAUCCAGAGAACUAAGGCUUUUUUAUUUAUUUUUUUGUUUGGUUUUUUUGGUUUUGUUUUUAUCUUAUUCAUAUGUAACAACUAACCAAUUCUCGGUCUGGAUUUGAUUUUUCUUUUUUUUUAAUCCAAUAUUGUUAUAAUCAAGCAAGCUCGGUAGGCUGAGAGUUAUUACAUGCUAUUUUACAUAAAUUAUGCAUGUUGCUUUAUAUGAGUAAGUAGUAGUUUUAACAUAUUAGUGAAAAAAAUAUUUACAUAAUAAUACUAAUCAUAGGUUUUAAGGAACGGUUCAAAUACUGAGGCCAUAUUGUUUUGUGAUUUUAUAUUAUUUUGACACUGGUGUUUUGUUGAAAAUAAGACGAUUUAAAUAAAUUUGAUUUGAAAAAUAUACGUUCAAAAUGAAUCUCUCUUAUCGAGAUGCAUAAAACUAAUACGCAAAUAUUAAUAAAAUAAAAAAAUUUUGUAUUUAUUCACCAGUGCCAAAUAAAAUAAGUUAAUAUUUUGGUGUUAAUGUGUUGAUAACGAUUGAUUUGUUCAACACCUUCUUUAGAAAUCUAAAAAGUGGAGCGGUAGAGAGAAGAUAAAUUAAUAUAUUUUCAUUAAAAUUAUUGGUACUUAAUUAUUGAACUUCUGAUACAUUUAUGUUACCAGGACAAGCUAACGAGUGACAUACUGAGAACAAUUAAUAAAUAAUUAUGUAAUCGCGUCCAAUUUUCAACCACACGAGACUAAAACCAAAAACAUUCAAGCAAUCACGGCCAUUGUUGCACCCAACCUAAAACAAAAGCUGGUUGAAGCAUGUUACAAGUUAGAAUGCCAGUUACGUUAAGUUUCAGAAUAGUAGAAAUUAUGAACAUAGAUAUUGAACCUUAGAUAUAGACAAACGUUAAAUUAAAAAUACUUCGGUUUCAUUGGAUAACAAUUUUUUUAAAAAUAAAUACUCCUAGACUGAUGCUUAUUCAAAAUACAUCACACUUGAACAUAGAUAUUGAAGUUUAUUACAAAACCAAUUCAUCUAAGCCACUUCAAACAAAGUAAUGUACAGCUGUCGCUGACCUAAAUAUGAUAAAUUUGCAAGGAAAAAGAUGAAGAAGAUAAUGAAUGAUAUUUAAAUUAAAAAGUCUACAUUCAGGUAGGAAAAAAAAAACACAAAACAAAUAAAUCAUCUAUUUAUUUUAUUAAUCGCACACUAUAAAAAUGUGAGUCAAACAAUAUUUGACAUCCAACAAAAAAGAAAAAAACCAAGUUAUUCAUUAUUAAUUAGUCAAUUAAACGUCAGUACAGUUAAAGAACAAUAUAUUCCGUAAUCUAAUAGUUCAUUAUUAUUUCACAAUAAAAAAACUAAACCAAAAACAUGAAAUGCAACAUAAAAAGCAAAAAAUUAGGACUAUCAAACAA